UAAAAAAUAAGAACAAGAAGGCGCCUUUUGCCAGAAAAUGGUCAAUAAAAAUGCUUCACUUAAUCAGAGACAAAAGCCGGGCUGGUUACUGUGGCAACAGACACACGCUCCUGCCUCACCUCCUGUAAAACAGCAGAGGGGGAGUUUGCGGAGGUGCUGAUGUCAAAAGGCAAGGCCGGCAAAAGCUUGGAGACCCUGACCAGAAAAAGGAGCCCUGAGAGCUGACAAAACUUUUUUAUCACCAUCAAUCGAUUUGAAACCCAGGUUUUGUGUUUUGGAUGGACACUGCAUGGUGGUUUGUCUGAGGCUCUGCCAUGGGAUGACGACCUGUCUGGGCUGGCCUUUGUGACCCUAUAAAGAUGAGGUGUAACGAGUGGUAUUGAUUUUGGAAGGAUGGACAUACUUUGAUCAUAAAAAUUAGAAGCUGAGUGUAUAGGGCCUCCCCUACGAAUUGAUCCCCUGGUCCCCCCAAAACAGCAGUGCACUCCUGGAUCUACAGAGAAAGAUCGACAGAGGCAUUGCUGCGUGUUUUGUUCUCCAUGUAAACAUAAACACACUUUUUCCAGCAUGUCAUAGGUGCACUGUGAACAGUGCGUCCUGCCUUCCACAGUGCCACCCACCACAUAUACAUUGACAAUGUACACAUUGCAAGAAUGUAAAUAAAUAUCUGAGAGUUAUGUUGACCCUGCAUGCGGGUCAGGCAGAACCCUCUGAUCCCUCCAGCUGCUCCAGGGCCCGCAGAGGUUAAGACCGCAGAGGUGAAGGGGUUGAAGGGCUUUGGGAAUUUCUGGAAGUUUCUGCGAAUUGUUGCUCUGCUCUUGGUUCACUCCCGGUUCAUUCUUAAGUUCUGAGAGGUGCAAGUGGGGAUGCAAGGGGGAGGGCACGCCACACGCUUGACCUGCUACACCUCCAUCUUACUGCAUUCUCAUCAUUUUUGGGCACAUCUGAGUGAUGGCAGAAGUUCAUUGCAAAUUAGUAUUUUCUGGAUUGUUUUAUGGUAUUUCAACUUCUUACAUCAAAGAAAUCGGUUAAGAACUUGUUCUGACUGUUAUUAAAAAA